AUUGAACGCUGGCGGCAGGCUUAACACAUGCAAGUCGAGCGGGGGAAGUUGCUUCGGUAAUUGACCUAGCGGCGGACGGGUGAGUAAUACUUAGGAAUCUGCCUAUUAAUGGGGGACAACAUCUCGAAAGGGAUGCUAAUACCGCAUACGCCCUACGGGGGAAAGCAGGGGAUCACUUGUGACCUUGCGUUAAUAGAUGAGCCUAAGUCGGAUUAGCUAGUUGGUGGGGUAAAGGCCUACCAAGGCGACGAUCUGUAGCGGGUCUGAGAGGAUGAUCCGCCACACUGGGACUGAGACGCGGCCCAGAAUCCUACGGGAGGCAGCAGUGGGGAAUCUUCGGCAAUGGACGAAAGUCUGACCGAGCAACGCCGCGUGAGUGAAGAAGGUUUUCGGAUCGUAAAACUCUGUUGUAGGGGAAGAACGGCUACUAGGCGAAUAGGCUAGUAGAUUGACGGUACCCUAUUAGAAAGCCACGGCUAACUACGUGCCAGCAGCCGCAGUAACAC
rnacentral:rRNA from 1 species